GACGUAGGUGGCGAACGUUAUCCGGAAUUAUUGGGCGUAAAGCGUCCGCAGGUGGCACUUCAAGUCUGUCGUCAAAGACUGGGGCUUAACCCUGGAAAGGCGGUGGAAACUGAAGCGCUAGAGUGUGGUAGGGGUAGAGGGAAUUCCCGGUGUAGCUGUGAAAUGCGUAGAGAUCGGGAAGAACAUCGGUGGCGAAAGCGCUCUACUGGACCGCAACUGACACUCAGGGACGAAAGCUAGGGGAGCGAAUGGG
rnacentral:rRNA from 1 species